GACGGCCGAUGAGGGCCUCGUCGCUCCG
rnacentral:ribozyme from 1 species